UUUGUUUUGUCCAGUUUGACCUCCCCUGUCAGUCAUUGAUAGUGGUAGGGUUUCAGACAUGUGACAGAGAGUAAUUCAUGUCCAUUAAAGGGGAUGAGCUCAAAGUAAGGAGCUCUAUCCUAAAGGCAGGACAAGACAAA
rnacentral:scRNA from 1 species